AUUGAACGCUGGCGGCAGGCCUAACACAUGCAAGUCGAACGGUAGCACAGAGAGCUUGCUCUCGGGUGACGAGUGGCGGACGGGUGAGUAAUGUCUGGGAAACUGCCCGAUGGAGGGGGAUAACUACUGGAAACGGUAGCUAAUACCGCAUAAUGUCGCAAGACCAAAGAGGGGGACCUUCGGGCCUCUUGCCAUCGGAUGUGCCCAGAUGGGAUUAGCUUGUUGGUGAGGUAAUGGCUCACCAAGGCGACGAUCCCUAGCUGGUCUGAGAGGAUGGCCAGCCACACUGGAACUGAGACACGGUCCAGACUCCUACGGGAGGCAGCAGUGGGGAAUAUUGCACAAUGGGCGCAAGCCUGAUGCAGCCAUGCCGCGUGUGUGAAGAAGGCCUUCGGGUUGUAAAGCACUUUCAGCGGGGAGGAAGGCAAUGCGGUUAAUAACCGUGUUGAUUGACGUUACCCGCAGAAGAAGCACCGGCUAACUCCGUG
rnacentral:rRNA from 1 species